CUCUAUAAACAGAAUAAUUUUUCACGUACAGAGAAAAUAAUUUUACACUUUGCACAAGAGAGGAGAGAGAAAUGUUGACAAAACACCGUGUGGGAGCUGUUCCCAUCAAUUUCUAACCGAAAAAUCAAUAACUGAAAGUAAGAGAGAUUUUAAUGUGCAAAAUUUGAAAAUUUUGAAGGUUUUAUGUUACAUUUUAAAGUUGAAGGACUAUAAUAUUACAACCAGAUAAAUUCAAUAACAAGGAUUAAAAUUUAUCCUAAAUAUAACUGACUAGUUAGACGAACCCUUAUACAGGCAACCAAUUUCAAUUAGCAUCUAUACUUGCAAUAUGGUAAUAUUUUACACAUUUUCACAUAUGAUCUACAUUACAUCAAUUUUGUUAUAUAAUCAAAAUGGUGACGUGCAGCCUUACCCCACUACUCUUCUACAGUUACAUAAACAAAAUAAAAUAAAAAAAGCAAUUUGAAGGGGGAAAAAAUCUAAUGACAAAAAAAGAAGCUGAUAUGCCCAACCAUCAUCCAAGCUAGGACUAUGUGGCCCUUUAUCAAAUGCAUCUGCCUUUCCUACACGAGGUCAGAAGUCCGAUUUCAUUAGCUUUGCUCGUGGCUUUAUAUUGAUAUUAUCAAAAGGUUUCGCCUGUUCAACAUGGACAUAAUCCCUCGUUUUAAGAACCAAUGUUUCAAAGAACAUUCUUGAUGCCUCCUUGCGAGUUUUACGAACUAGUAGGCUGUCCAUUAGCAGGACCUUUCUUCCAUGUCCUGCUUCCUUAUCAAAUAGAGUUUGAAGGUACUUGGCAACAGCCCUGGUGCGAGAAGACCACCCACUAUUGUCAAGAAGCCGAGUAUCUUCAGCAUUUGGCAUGCCUUCCUCAUAAUCUUCACCUAUUUCAUCAUCAUCUACAUUCAAGAACUCUGUAUCAUUUGCAAAUGCAUCAUCUUGAAAAUCACCACAAUCCCUGAUAGUAACAUGGUCAAGCAGUGUAUUUUGCAUAUCCAUGGUGCUCUGAUGAUCAGCUUGUUCGCAUACUGUAUAAUCUCCAUUCAUGGAGGUGCUUUUGAAAUCCCCAUCAAGUCCUACCAGAUAUGUAGAAUCCGUUUUAGAUUCUUCAUUACACAAAUGAUUAGAUAUUUGGUCAAUGCACCCUGAGCUCACACCCAAACCUCCAACCUCACAAUGAAUCCCAUGCUUAUCAUUUCCAAUCUCAUCCAAAGCUUGGUCAACAUUUACAGAACUAAAGUUAUCAUCAAUAGGAUCAGAACCUUCUGGAUGAAAAUCCCCAACUUCAAUUGGUGCACCAGCUUUGCUAUCCUCCAACGGCAUUCCUUCCAUCCUCGAUUCAGUUCCAGUUGCAAUAAUUUGCUCAGCAGAAUGGUCUACAAAUUCAAUACUAUCAAGCCCCAUGCCAUUGCUUAUGUCCCUUAAAGAAGCAACUUCCUCAACCAGUUGUGUAUCAAUCUUAUCACAGUUUGAAGCAUCCAUCUGUAUAAAAUCAUUUGCACCAAUCAUUUUGUCCAUGAUAUCGGACUGAUCAACAGUACCAAUUGGCAUUUCAAAAAUAUCUGCAGACACUGGCUCUCUUUGGGAUGUCACCAAACCCUGAGCAGAAUGAUUUGUGAUAUCAGCAACUUCAGCAUCUACUUUAUCAAUUUCCAUUUCACUUGUUUUUCCCAAAUGUUCAUGUUCUAAAGAUCUAUAAUCAGCUAAAUCAGUGAUUCCAUUCAUGUGUUCUUGAUUACUAAUAUCAUAUGAGCUGAAGUGGUCUUCAUCCUGGCGAUUAUCAUUCUGAAUGAGAGUCUCAUAGGAUUGUCCAUCCAAGCCAUGUCUGCAACUACCAGGUUCUGUUGACCCUUCAAUUUCACUAUGUUGGGUAACAUAUUGCUUGGCAGAAUCUUCAUCAUUCAAUGCUUCCACAGGAGCGUUAUUAUUAUCAUCAUUUUCAGAAACCCUGAUUCUGCUCAAAUCAAAUGCUUCACUGUGCAAAUGUGACAGUUCCGCUAACAUGCCAGUUAAUACUGGUUCACUAAAGAGUUCCCCUUCCCAGAAUUGCCUCUGAAUCAUCAAAAUUUCUGUGCGUGUACAGGGCGCCUUUUUACGCAUGCGACGUAUGUCCUCAGUGUUAGUCAACUGUUGGCGUAUAGUAUCGCCAUGCAAAACCAUCAAAUCAUCCAUAAGAACCUUCCUCUUCAAUGCGGUAGGUCGAGAAGAAGAACGGGCACGCUUCAUAGAUGGAAUUUCAGGUAUGGGUGGAGUUGGCUUCAUUUUCAAAACUGAAGAUCUUCUUCCGACUAAUAUAGAAGAUAGCAAGUCAUCAUCAUCAGGAAUAGAAUUUACAGUUCUCUUUGAUUUGGUCAUGCCAAGUGAUUCAACAGAAUUUAUACUUUGCACAGUUAAAGAACUUUCAUUAAAACUCCGCUUUUUCCCAGAAAUUUUUGUCCCUGCGCCACUUUCAUCACCCUCUUGGACUUGUUUAUCAGGUGUCUCAACUAGUAAAUCAGGCUGCCUAUCCAGAAGCCUCUGGGGUGCAAAAAGCAACUUCUCAGGUGCUGGCAAGUCAGAAAUCAUGGAACUAUUCAAAUCUUCACACUGGUUAUCAUUAGAGAUUGCUUUGUCCAGUUGAUCCUCUCGUUUUCCUCCAUCUGCCUGAAUUUCUCCACUUAAAGCAGGUUCAGAUGUCCGAUUUUCCUCUGAUUGUACAACACCAGUCAUGUGGCACUCUUGACCUUGCACCUUAGUGGAAUUUCCAGAAGCAUGGAAUCCUUCCUUCCUUUGAAGUGACUCUGAUGACAAUGGUACAAUAUCUGCUGAUUGCAAGUCAGAUGCAACCACAGAAUUACCAACAUCAUGAUAUGAACUAUCAGGCUUGCUUAAAUGGGAAUUGCAUGUCCGGAGCACACUUGUGCAAGCAGUUGCCAUCUGUUCAUUAUUAACAUUGUCAUUCAAUACUUCAGGAUCCUCCAGUCCCUGACAACCCUGACCUUCGACAUUAACAGAUUUCUGAGCACUAGGCAAUUCCAGUGAGUGGAUAGCAUUUGACACAACAUGUUUGCCAUUUGAGUGUGAUUCUUGCAUGUUUUUGAUGAUUUCAACAUCAUCAGUUUCUUGCAACCUAACUCCUAAGGAUUCGUCAUACUCUCCAUUAAUUUGAUCUAUAGAGGGGACAUACUCUUCAUUAUUGCAAGAAACAACUUUAUUUGCAUCUUCUACCUCAUCCAACCGAUCCAGUACACCAACAUUCCCAUCUCCUGGAACAUGUUCUGUAGUCACUGAAGUAGAAAGUAAAUCUCUCUUUAGCCCUGUUUGAUUGACCUCCAAGUCACCAGAUGGGAGGCUUCUCUCCCCAGCAGCCAGGCACACACCAGAAUCAUGAUUUAAAUGAUCACCUAAAGACAAAUCCAUAGCAUCAUCGCUGUGAUGAAGAUCUGACUUAUUGGGAGCAUUUUCAGAGCUCUCUAUUCCUACAAAUUCUCUUAAAUUAUGAUCUUCUGAUUCUAAAUGAUCAUCACAGGUCAGACCUUCCUUGACACUGGACACAUCUGGCUCUCCCAUUAAUCCAGGGGUAGAUGGAGCCUGAGCAUAAUCAAUGCCUUCCAAAUUUGCAGCAGAACCUUCGAUCUUUUUUCUAGUACCAUUCAAUGGCAUGUCUUCUGAAGACCCAGUCAUCCUUUCAUGACUGAUAUCCAUUUUUGGGCAUGGCAUUGGUUCAACAGAUGUCUGAGCAUCAUUUUCAGAAAUUUCAUCAUGCCCUGUUGCUGCAACCUUAUCCAGGAAGAGAUCCUCUUCAAGGUCCAAACCAACUUGAGAAGUGUCACCAUCACCAAAACGCUCAUCCAAUCCAAACUGUGAUGUAGAGUAAACAACACCAUCCAUGGUGUCUUGGAGUGUAAUCUGCUCCCUUGUACUGACAUGAUGGUCAACAUAGUUGCCUUGAAAAAUAUCAUUAUCUGGCAGCUCAAAAUCAUCGAGAUCAAAAGUCUCUGGCAAUGUAAUUGAGUGAUAUGGAGCAGUUGAUUCUUCCGGAGGUAAAUCAACUGCAGUAGAGCGAAAAGCUUGCUUUACCUUCAGUAAAGCCUCACUGCAGUCAUCAAAAAGGUAGUUCACCUUUCUAGAAUAUAUCCUUACCACACCAAGCAGAAGAUGACUGGACAGCCUAAGUGCAAUUGGUACUUCAGGAAAAAGAAUGGAAUCUACAGAGACACCAAUAUCAGUGUCGGCGACCUGGUUCUUUCGAAGCUUUCUCUCUAAAUGAGCCGCGAUCCAUAUCGUCCCUAAAGGCCCUUUCUUGGCCAAUAUAAACUGCGAAUAAAACAUCUCUUACGCAGACAACAAAAAAUCCCAGUUUUUUGCACAACAAACUCGCGCCAGAUUUGCUAAAACUAGCACUAUCAACUAAAAUCCACCGACAAAUCAAAAGCUAACAAAAACCCCAAAUUCACAACAACAACAGUCAUUAGCUUCCAACCAAUCUUAUUUCACAACCCAGAACCUGAAGAACGAAGCAAUAACAACUGAACUCGAACAAAGUUGCGUAAUUUAAACAGAAACCCUAAUUUCACUACAAGAACAGCUUCCUCCAAAUUCUCCCGAAAAAGCCCUAAACUGGAAAAUUAAACAUCGAAUGGAGAUGAAAACACCAGAAAUUCAGCAAUUUAAUGUAAUUAAGCAUCGAAACCCUAAUCUCAAUACAAGCGUAAAUUCUCCAAAUUCUCUAGCAAGAAGCCGAAAAUUCGAGUUGCAUCCCAAAUAGACUUGAUAGAGCUGAAGAAAACGCCAAAAUUAGCAGCAAAGAUACGAAGAUCCUAAUACUUGGUCAGCUACCACAGCAGCUGAGAAACAUGGAAACAGAAGAGAGGUACUUCAUUUCAACGGAAUCCAAAGAAGUGAGCAAUCAGAAGAUAGAAAAAGUAGCUGAGAGCAUGAACAAUUGAGAGGUCAGAGAAACGAAAAACUGAAACCCUAGUUUCUGUGGGGGGAACGCCGUUGCUGGGACAAGGCAUAGAGGAAGAAGGAGCAGCAGCAGGAAAGGAAGAACAAUUUGAAGUGAAGCGUAGAAUUUGAUUUUUGAGUGAGGGAUCGGACAGAUAGUGACAGGGGGAAUCUAAAAAUAAGGAAAGAGAAGCAAA
rnacentral:misc_RNA from 1 species